CCCUAACGAAAUUCUUUCAGACAAUAUGCCUUUGUGUGGACCUAAACUAUCCCUGUGUGGAGUUGUAAUCUCGGCCUGGGGAAUCCUUCAGCUAUCUCUUAUGGGAGUUUUCUUCUACAUUCACAGUGUAGCUCUCAUUGAAGAUAUUCCCCUGGAGGAGGAAUACACUGACCUUAGUGAGCUAAGGAAGGAAAUGGAGUCGGGAUAUAAUCAGAACGCAUUGAACUGCUGGAUUGCUGCUCUACUAUACCUCGUCACUCUUUGCUUCUCAGUUCAACAGUUCUGGAUGAACAACAGAAGCACCUACAGGGUUUGAGAUUAGCUCAAGAAUCGAGACACCACAAAUCCUCUUGAUGAUUGACCGGCAAUAUUUCACAUAACUCCUAGAUUUAGAAAUAAUUAUUUUAUUCCAGAUCGUUUACAAUUAAAUUUCUUUUUAGAUUUUCCAAACUUUCUUUGUAACGCGUCUUGUAUAAUGUUUAAUGUCAGUAGCUAUAAUAGGAAUAAUUUUUAUCUAUUUGAACAUUUCCUUUUCAAAUAUUUAAUCAUCAUUUUGUCUAAAGAAUAAUUAUGAUUAAAAUUAUGAUUUAUCCUCUGAAUCCUACGUAUUUAUUAUAGUUCAUCAUUUCUGUGAUUUUUAUUCAUUUGGGAACUUGUAUUUAUUUAAAGUGUUUUACUCUGUAAAAAUAUAAAUGAUUUUUUAAUAUGGAACUACAGGUUCCUAAUCAUUCGUUAUAUAUGAUUAAAAUAAAGUUAAGUGUUAACGUUU